rnacentral:misc_RNA from 1 species
AUAGUUCUCUCCACAUGCCCCACAUAGGGUAUCCCCGUGCUCUUCUUCAUCUUCUUCAACCAGUCCUUCAUCAUCAUCCUUUGGCUGCCCCUUCACAUAUUUGCCAGUGUCAGAUCCUUGCUGUUUUCGUGUCAUUAAAGUAGUUAUUAGCGUUUGACAAGACAGCUAAACCUAUAAAAGACAACUAGUGAUUUUCUCAUUAGAUAUAAUAGAACCACCAUAUUUGAAACCAAGAAACAUGCAAUGGUUAGAAUGAAAACAGUCCCAUCCCAUCAUAUUUUAAGUUGUCCAAAACAGCUUCAUUACUUAUAAUAUAAAUUGUUUCCUUUCAUAGCCAAGAAUUUCUUCAAAUAAUUGUUGACUUCAUUGAGCAGCAUGAUACUUCAUGGUUUCCAAAACUCCAAAUGUAUCGUGUUUGUGACAUUACUUUCAUUGUUAAGUGUUACCGCUGAACUUAAUCCAGCAAAGAAACCACAAAAAUAAGUAAUUAAUUUUAAAAAUGAGCCAGGAAAGAAGUCAUAGGUCAAAACAGAUUAUGAAAUAAUUAAGAGAGAUGUGCAGUACACUGAUCGAAGUGCAGUUACUUAUAAGAAAUUUUCUACGCGUUACAUAGUUACACUACCGAACAGGAGGAUGCAAGACACCAGCAACUACUUGAAGCACCCCAACCAAAAAAGGAAAAAGAAAUAAAAAAUAACAUUCUAUUUUAGUUCAGCCUCUGAUGCUAAUACAUGCCAUUAUAGUCACAAUUGAUAAUGAUGAAACCUACAAAAAUAACUUGGGGAGAGGAAAUGCACUCACCCUCAUAUAUAACCCAACGCACAAAUCAAACAGAGCUAAAGAAAAAGGGAUACAAAAAUAAAAUACCAGAAAUGUUACAUUGACUUAUUAAUAAAUGAAUAAGCUGAUAACAAAUCAAGAACCUUUGUCUUAACUUUUCAAAUGAUCCCACUGAUCAGAGGCUAUGGACCAAGAUACCGAUGUGAAUUUGGCACUUGUAACAAUAAUAGUAGAUAGAUGAUAUUCCAGAUCCAUUUAACCAGCCAACUAAAAAAAGAAAUUGACUUUACCCCUUUCAAGCCAGACUUGGACUUGUUGCUGCUAUGAUUUGAGACUGAUGAC